rnacentral:rRNA from 1 species
UACGUAGGGGGCAAGCGUUGUCCGGAUUUAUUGGGCGUAAAGAGCUCGUAGGUGGUUCGGUAAGUCGGAUGUGAAAUCUCCAGGCUCAACCUGGAGGGGUCAUUCGAUACUGCCGUGACUAGAGGUCGGUAGGGGAGUGUGGAAUUCCUGGUGGAGCGGUGAAAUGCGCAGAUAUCAGGAGGAACACCCGUAGCGAAGGCGGCACUCUGGGCCGAUACUGACACUGAGGAGCGAAAGCGUGGGGAGCGAACGGG